rnacentral:rRNA from 1 species
ACAGCAGCAGCCGCGGGAAAACAGAGGAUGCAAGCGUUAUCCGGAAUGAUUGGGCGUAAAGCGUCUGUAGGUGGCUUUUCAUGUCCGCCGUCAAAUCCCAGGGCUCAACCCUGGACAGGCGGUGGAAACUACCAAGCUAGAGUACGGUAGGGGCAGAGGGAAUUUCCGGUGGAGCGGUGAAAUGCGUUGAGAUCGAAAAGAGCACCAACGACGAAAGCACUCUGCUGGGUCGACACUGACACUGAGAGACGAAAGCUAGGGGAGCAAAUGGGAUUAGAUACCCCAGUAGUCCCUGUCUCUUAUAC